ensembl:lncRNA
GGCAGCGGCAGACGGCCUGAGUCACUGCAGUGACGGAGAAUCACCCGUUUCCAUGCUCAGAAGUUUGUAGCUAUUUAUUGCACUUGAACACCAAGAAUAAAACCGACACUCGCCCUUCCCUCCCGCGCCCACCCCGCGCCCGGCCCCCCCACCGCCCUCCCCAAAUGUAGCGCUGGAUCAGAGCAGUGAUCAUUCUGUUCACAGCCACAGGUUCCAAAAACAAAGAAAAAGGAAACAAAAUCCCCCCCCCCAAGCCCCCGAUGAAUCCAACACGGUCACACUGCUCGACAGUUCGAGUGCACUUACAAAAGAGAGAAAAAGGCUUCAGCUGCAGCCAUAUGGAGGCACAGACACGAGGAGACGGGCAGCUUCCCCCUCCCCGGGGUCUGAUUUUUGUUAUGUGACAAAGCUUGAUAUAUUCUUAAUUAUAAUAUAUUUUUUGCAAUCAUCUUAAAUAAAUAUUUCCAUAGAGAUUUCCUGUAUGUAUAUAUAUUUUAUAUAUAUAUUAUAUAUAGAGAGAUCUCCUUUUUUUUCUUAAACCACUGUUAACAUAUUUUCCCUGCUUGUCCAAAAAAAGUUACAAAAGCCCUAAAAUUGUGCAACAGUUAGAAAAAAGGAUCAACAACCCAAAGACGGAAGGAGCCACUCAGUAUACUCCCCCCUCCAUCAUCCCCUCUCCCACUCCCUGGCAUCACAGUCAGCAACUGGGUGGAGGCCUUGCAACGAGGAGGGACCCAUGGGCGAGGAGGGACUCCAACCAAGGGGAGAGGAGCCAUGGGGUGGCCCUUGGGGGCUGGACCACCCCAGGGCCACCAGCCUCUCCUCUGAUGUGCCCACAACCUAGUCAAGUCUGGGUYUGCCUUACCUGGUACUGAUGAGCUGGGACCUGCUCAGGGAUAAUUUGCCAGGAUGCCCUUUCAAACACAGCAAGAGGGUUUGCUGGUCCUCCCCUACGAUCCUGCCAUGGCCUGCAGAGUGGGCCGUGAGCUCAAUGCCGUGGAUGGUGUGGGUGGUCUGGGAGAGCUGGGCUGCCCACGGGCACCUCUACUGCUGCUGCUGCYGCUGGCUCCCACCGUUGCGUCUCCACAGGGGUGGAAAUUCACUGAGGAUGAAGGRAGGGGAAGCAAGUUUGGGGUCAGGUGGGAGUUUGGUGCCUGGCAGAUGGGGCAUUUCCCCUCAGGGGAGAAGGGCUGCCCUGGCUGGGGUUAGGAGCGGAGCCUUCGYUCCCUCCCGCAAAAGGUAUAGAAGCGCCCAGAGUGGCCUGUUCUUCUUCCAGAGAGGAGGCACCAGCAAGACCUGAGAAACAAUGAUGUUGCAGGCUGGACCUGGGCCCUGCCAGCCAGGAAGGGAAAAUGGGCAACUCCCAAUCCAAAUCUACAGCUGGGAACCUGAGACCACUGCAGCAAGUGCUGGGACUCAGCUCUUUCUUGUGGUCUGCAAGAAACAGAAGCGAAGAUUAAUUUGGAGGACUUCUGAGUUUUGUUUGACCUGGUUGACCAGGCAACCAAGUGAGAGUCAGGCUAUGUCUCUACUAGGAAAUYAAAAGUGCCGCAGCACGGUCUCUGGCCUUGAGACUGAUGGGAACAGGAGGUCUAUGGCAGAAACUCCCUCCCAACAAGGYGGCCUCAUCCAUAUUGCUUAUUGGGAAUGUCUGCUGGACCUUGUCAUCCCCAGAGCCUUACUGAGGUUGUUGGGGCGAUGCCAGUAGACACUGCCUAGCUUACAAGUAGGGAUGCAACCACAGCAUCCCUUGCUCUGCCAGCCAAAAAAGGGCUGUGACAGUUGGUCUUUUUUAGUUUUCCUGCAAGUUUAGAAGAAAUCAGGGAAUAUAGAGGAAGACAGAGACAGAAGCUGUUCACCAUGGCUACUAAAAGAAAGGAUGGUGGCUUAUUCAGUGCUUGCUCAGAGAUGCUCUGGGGAUACAGAAAUGUGCUCUGGAGAACCAGGGCAAGGUAGGGAGAGAAAGCAGGCAGAACAGACCCCUAAAGUGCAGGUGCUUAAUGCUGCCAGUGUGGGCAGAUGGUGGAAAGUCAAGUCUUCCUGGGUCAGACUUCGCCUUGACUGGAAGACUAAAAAGAGUUGAAACUUCAGGCUCUGCUUCCUUUUGAAUUGAUCUGGAACAUCUUGGGUGUUGCAAGGACAUCCAGCUGCCCCAGGGGAACCUGUCCAUGGAGAGAUGRCCAUAGGGAAGCCUCAAGAAGGAGAAAUCACCUCUAAGAUGACAGCUCAAAGCCACUCCGGAAACUGAGAUGUUCCCCUGGCAGUGACCGCCCAAAGAGGACUCUCAGUGAAAGGAGACU